rnacentral:rRNA from 1 species
UACGUAGGUGGCAAGCGUUGUUCGGAAUUAUUGGGCGUAAAGAGCUCGUAGGCGGUUUGUCGCGUCUGCUGUGAAAUCCCGAGGCUCAACCUCGGGUCUGCAGUGGGUACGGGCAGACUGGAGUGCGGUAGGGGAGAAUGGAAUUCCUGGUGUAGCGGUGGAAUGCGCAGAUAUCAGGAGGAACACCGAUGGCGAAGGCAGUUCUCUGGGCCGUAACUGACGCUGAGGAGCGAAAGCGUGGGGAGCGAACAGG